GUGCUCGCUUCGGCAGCUCAUAUACUAAAAAUUGGAACGAUACAGAGAAGAUUAGCAUGGCCCCUGUGCAAAGGAUGACAUAGUAGAUAUGUUGGGAACAGAGCCUUUAA